AGCUCCCUGGCACCACUAUGUCUGGACUGUAAUUCCUCUGAGUAGAUUUAUGUAGGAAAGUCUAAUGAGACCCCGGCUCUAACUUGCCUGCUCUCCAGUCUAACCACACAGGCUCACCGACUCUCUUCCUUAAAGCUCUCCACUUUCCCACCAUGAAUAUUUGCCAAGUGGAUACAAUACAUCGAGGACUCUGUGACGUUCCUACAACCUCAACAAAUAUUCUAAAAUAUUCCACUUUAUAAAAUAUGUGACUAUUUUUUACAUAGAAUUCAUGAUAAAUCUUAAUUCAUUGCUAAGGCUUAGGCUGAACAGCAAUGAUCAUGAAUUUGUCGCAAAGCAGAUUAUAUUAUUUUUGUAUUUAACGAAAAAAGGGGGAUAUAUCUGGCAAAAUUCUUUAAAAAAAAUACAAUGAAGUUGGAGAAACAAAACUAAAAAAAUUCAACUUUUUUCCAACAUGAUUUGGACUUGGACGAAAUAUUGAUUUGAUUAUCGGCGUCAGGUUUUAUCUUUUAUGUUCAAGAAGAGACAAGACCCGGUGUAUCUUCAGGAAUUCUAAAAUCAAAAAGAGUGGAAGCUGGUGAAGUAUAUGUGGUUGUGUGAGGAACGUACGAUAGAAUAAUCUGUUCCAUAACUACAAUCACGUGUGUCUCAUAUACUCCUCCCACAGCCCUAAUAAAUGUGGGGCUACAGUUGAUUCCAACAUGAUUAGAAGCAAGACGGCCCUACAACAACAACAACAAACUACUUGCACAACACAGUUGACUUGCCUUUUCAGAACCUCAGCCCACUGUAAAUGGAAGGAGCCAUAUCAGAUACGAAGCAAUCGUUGCCUUUCGUCCAUCACAAAUUCCAAGGAAGAGAAGAAUGGAAGGGUCAACAAGAAGGUCCCAGCUCCAGUUCUGCACACGUAUCAAUGAAAUGCGUUGAGACUGGAGAUCACAUUUCUAUGAAUUUUGGCCUGGUUAUAUUUUAGAAGCAAUACAAUUUAGUAUGGAAUCUGGAUUUUGCUUUUUUUUGGGGAUCCUCCUUGGGUCAAAGCACUUAAAGUGGAUUACAAACCCUUCCCAUUGGAGUAGAGAUAAUGGAAAACGAUGGAGGAAACAGGGUUGGAAACACAUGGAAUUGGAUUACAAAGCUCAUUGGAUUUACUUGUUUCAAAAAUGUGUUGUUUUUGAUGGAUCUUUAUUUAUUCAAACUAAAGACAAAAGGUCUCCAGGGAAUGUGGCCGUAGAGGAAUAUUCUUGAAUCAGAUACUCCCACAGUCCAUUGAAACUUGGCACCGCAUCCAGUGGCAGCACCA